AAACAGAGAGAAACAGAGAUAAGAGAAGACAUGAAAGGGGACGCAGUGCAGUAAAAGCAGAUGGGCGGCCCCAAAUUUCUUCCGCUUUUCAGUUUUGCAGAGGUUCAGCCCUGCAUCUAGCACUGUAGCAAAGGGGUGGGAGAGGAGGAAAGGGGAGGGGCUGUACUCGCUCUGAGCGUGCCCAGCCUCAACUGCCUGACAGAUCACCUUCCGCUCCAGCAUGGCUAGUUUCUCCUCGCCAUGACUCAUGCCUAUUGUGCCAAGCAGGGCGCACUCAGCCCAGCAGCCCCACAGGUGGUAUCGGCUCGGUGCGACGAUUCCCGCCAGGCUAGGCAGUGGAGCGCCGCACAGCGCGCCUUCCCGCCUCUCAGCUGCCGCCCCAGCAGUCCCGACCCAGCGCCAGCAGGCCUGCUCGGUCGAUCUUCGAGCGGAAGAUGCGGCGGGGCUGGAAGAUGGCUCUGUCCGGGGGUCUGCGGUGCUGCCGCCGGGUACUUUCCUGGGUGCCAGUGCUUGUUAUCGUCCUCGUCGUGCUCUGGUCCUACUAUGCCUACGUCUUUGAACUCUGCCUGGUAACUGUUUUGAGCCCAGCAGAAAAAGUUAUCUACCUCAUAUUCUACCAUGCCAUCUUUGUGUUCUUUACCUGGACCUACUGGAAGUCUAUUUUUACACUCCCACAACAGCCAAACCAAAAGGUAAGAAUACUGGUUACUUUAUAAAGUCUAAAAUCAGAGGAAAGUAGACGUGCCAAUAAGGCAAGAAAGGGGCAAAAAGAGGAGCAAAUAACCUUCCAUUAUGAAAGAGAGAUUCAGGAUUAUCUAUACAAAGGACUCUUAGUGAUAAAGGUAAAUUAAGGGUAGGAUAGUCUUAUUG
rnacentral:lncRNA from 1 species